UGAGGCAGGAGAAUUGCUUGAACCCAGGAGGUGGAGGUUGCAGUGAGCCGAGAUCGCGCCACUGCACUCCAGCCUGGUGACAGAGCAAGACUCCAUCUCA
rnacentral:miRNA from 1 species